rnacentral:lncRNA from 1 species
CUUCUCCCUGCACACUGUGGACAUCAGGGCCGGGUCACUAUCUGGGGGUCUGUCCUGGGCACUGUGAGGGGUUAAGCAGCAUCCCUGGCCCCACCCGCUCGAUGCCAGGAGCUCCCCCAGUGUGACACCCACAGAUAUCCCCAGAUACUGCCAAGGGUCCCUGCAAACUAAUAAGGAGGCAAGCCAGUCACUCUCCUGUGCCCAAGAUUUAGGGGGUGCCCAAAACGCCAGUCAUCAAAGUGAAUGGUGUCAGUGCGACAUUUUAACAAUUCAAAACGAGUGCAAAAAGUCUAUGAUGAACAAAAUGUCGAAAUUUUAAAUGCACAUGGGAUGGAACUGCUGUGUGCAGCCAUUUCGGAGCUCGAGACAAAACGAGAAAGGCGCGCCCCUUCAAACGUGGUUUUACGUCAGUUUUCAAUGGUUAACUCCCGCCCCCCACCCCGCAAACGUUAAAGUGGUUGAAAAAGGAUUAAAGCACUGAAAAGGAAUUGUAUUAAAGUUCAAAAUAGUUUAAGCUUGAAUUAGGUUCCACUAAUACCAAAACCUGAAUUUAUUAGAAUUUUUCCUUUCCUGGCUUUCAUGGAAGCAAACUCGGCUCUAUUUUCAUGAAAACCACUAAGCUUUACAAAAAUAUAUAAAAAUUUGUGCCCAGGGGUACGCGUUUCCUUUUGCUUCAGGCGGGCCGUGGGGCUGUCUACCCGGCAGGAGUUAAACGUUGUUAACCAGAUUUCAGAGCGACUCGCUCAUCUCCCAGGUCACCACUCACGGGUGUUCACCUGACGGGUUUAUUCAUUUAUGUCUGAAAUAAGAUCACGCCUUAUUUGACAGGCAGUGAAUGAAUCCCUUGCUGGUGGACUAGUUAGAAAUGGUCUGGGCAGCCGGUCAGAAACGGGGGACACUAUUUUCAGAGGGGGUAUGGCCUCUGGGAGAUGAGCUUUAGGUGGAAUAAUACGGACAGAGAGGUGGGUGGUGAAGGCCACCACUUGUGUUAAAGGACAUACAGCUGUCAUGGGCUGAAGAAGGUGUGUCCCCCCUGAAAUGCAUCUGUUGAAGGCCUAACGGCCAGCGUGGCCAUCUGGAGACCAGGCCUCUAAGGAUGUAGCGAAGGUUAAAUGACGUCAGAGGACGGGGCCCUAAUCCCAUAGGAUUCGUGUCAUUCUAAGAGGCAGCAGACAGCUCCCUCGCUCUCUCUCUCCCUCCCUCUGUGCGUGUCAAGGAAAGGCCACGUGAGGACACGGCGAGAAGGCGGCCAUCUGCCCUCACCAGAAACCGCCCUGCCAGCACCUUGAUCUCGGCCUUCCAGCCUCCCUGCUGUGUGAGUGACCCAGUCCGCGGGACUCUCUUACAGCGGCGGAGCAGACAGUAGAACAGCUGUUCCCACAAAUAUGCUUAAAAUAUGCUUAUUGAUGCAGAGAAUGUUUCUAGAGUUUUCAAGACCUGGGCGAGAGUUGGAGAGAAGUGGGCCCAGGGUACCAGGGAGGGAAAUGACCGUGCCCUGCAUGUCCUCGUGUGCCUGCUCGUUCUUUAUCUCUCACGGGACGGGUUAACACAUCUACAAGUUCUGAUACCCUUCCUUGAUGCAGAGCCCGACCGCCUUCCCUCGAGUGUGGGCGGGACUUAGGGAGUUGCUCCUAACCAACAGGAUGUGGAGGAAGUGACGGCGUGACACUCUGGAGGGUAGGUCAUAAAAGGACUGUGGCCUCCAGCUGGCUCUCUCUGGGGAAGCCAGCCGCCAUACUGUGAGGAGGCUCAGGCGGUGCUGUGGAGAGGCCCACCUGGAGGGGGAGCCGAGGCCUCCCGUCGGCAGCCACAAGAGGGAGCCAUCCUGCAAGCGGCUCCUCCGGCCCCAGUCGAGCCUUCAGAUGAGGCAGCCCCGGAUGAUAGCUUAACUGCCACCUCAUGAGAGACCCUAAGCUAGGACCCCACAGCUAAGUUACUCCCAAAUUCUUGACUAACAGAAACCAUGAGAUAAUGCCUGUUUGUUGUUUUAAACCACUCAAUCGUGGGGUAAUUUGCUAAGUAAUCAGUUUCUGCCAGCCACCGGGAAGCUCCUAGAUUUGCAAAAGUUUGGAGCUGAAAGGACCCCCAGGUCACCAGAGCCACUGGGCCUGCAAUCAGGGUAACCAAGUCCCCAGCAUGACCAGGUGCAGGCAGGCAGGUUUCAGAGCGAGGUUUAAUGCUGUGUGCACUCGAUCAGAGAUGUUUCUAGAAACACAGAAAGUCCUGAAUUGCACUGUGGAUUUCCUCGCGGUCCAUCCUGAGGGCUUGGACUGUUCCAGAUGCAGAUGGAAGGAGCAAGCACCACUGACACCUGGAGGGGGAGCAAGGCAGGGUGAGCAGAGGGCUCCGGGCCGUCGUGCUUAUGACAAAGAGCAAGCCGCGACGAGGAACACAGACGCCACAGCCAGGCUCCAAGGGCAAAUCUAGCUGUGCCCCUUAGGGGCUGCGUGUCCUGGGCCUCAGGUCCCCAUCUAGAAAUGGUGUGUAAGUGGCGUGCGCACACCAGACCGCCAUGUGGGCAAUGAGCUAGUAACACGGGCAGUGUGGUCAGCACAGCGACAGCGACGGGCACGUCAGAGACACAGAGGGUGAGCCCAAGGUGUCAUUA